AUUCCAGCUCCAAUAGCGUAUAUUAAAGUUGUUGCAGUUAAAAAGCUCGUAGUUGGAUUUCUGGAUCGAAUGUCCGGUCGGCUUACUAAGUAAGCUCGUACAAGUGAUAUUUGUUUCAUUUUUUGUGAGGAAAUUUAUCUGUCAUUAAGUUGAUGGGUUACGGACUUGCAUCGUUUAUUGUGAAAAAAUUAGAGUGUUUAAAGCAGGCGUUUGCCUUGAAUACAUUAGCAUGGAAUAAUAAGAUAUGACUUUGGUGGUCUAUUUUGUUGGUUUGCACACCAGAGUAAUGAUUAAUAGGGACAGUUGGGGGUAUUCAUAUUUCAGCGUCAGAGGUGAAAUUCUUAGAUCGCUGAAAGAUGAGCUUAGGCGAAAGCAUUUACCAAGGAUGUUUUCAUUA
rnacentral:rRNA from 1 species